rnacentral:rRNA from 1 species
AUGCUUUGCUUGUAUGUUGAUGACAUACUAAUUUUCGGAACAAAUCUGAAUGUUAUUAAGGAGGUCAAGGAUUUCCUAUCUCGCUGUUUUGAGAUGAAGGAUUUAGGAGUGGCUGAUGUCAUUCUGAACAUCAAGUUGUUGAGAGAUGAUGAUGGUGGGGUUACAUUGCUUCAAUCUCACUAUGUGGAAAAGAUCUUGAGUCGCUUUGGCUAUAGUGAUUGCAAGCCCUCUCCAACACCAUAUGAUGCUAGCGUGCUGCUUCGAAAGAAUCGAAGAAUUGCUAGAGAUCAAUUGAAGUAUUCUCAGAUUAUUGGCUCGCUUAUGUACUUAGCCAGUGCUACAAGACCUGACAUCUCUUUUGCUGUUAGCAAACUGAGCCGGUUUGUUUCAAAACCAGGAGAUGUGCAUUGGAAAGCUCUAGAGAGAGUUUUGCGUUAUUUGAAAGGCACUGCGAAUUAUGGAAUUCACUACACUGGGCACCCAAAGGUGCUUGAAGGGUAUAGUGACUCAAACUGA